AACUCGUUGAUAUAAAUUUGUUGGAACAAAAGUGUUUUCAAGAUAGGUGAAUCAACUAAAUGAAUCAAACGAUAUAAAUAGGUGAAUCACUGAUUUUUUAUGGGAAAAACUACAAAAAAAAAAUAGCAACCUAACUUAUCCCUUAGGCGGAGUCAGCUAAAUGUAUUGAACAAUAACUUCAGUAAAUUUGAAAAUAAAACUCAUGUUAUUUUAUGGCAUAUAAAACCUUUUUCCAACAAGUAGGACUAGCUUUUAAUAGUCAGCAUUGACGACUUUGAAAUUUGAAUUACUUUAACUAUGUUAGUAAAACUAUAGUUUAUUGACAUCAUGUCCCUUCAAACAUUAUAUAUGGAAACAUUUACUUUUUUUUUUAACCUAUUAGUGGUCUAUGGCAGGUGGGGUUGCUUUAUGCUCAACGGGAUCCACCCUUCUUUCGUCCCAUAUCUAAAGGAAUUCAGAGGUGUCUAGUAAGAUGGCUUGUCCAGCAGCGGAUGCAGCUCAGGUUCCCUCAGUUGAUUCGAUUUCAGUGGCACAGAAUAAUACGGGGACGUUAUUAUCGCCAUUUGAUGGUACAAUUAGACAAUAAGUACUAGGCAAAGCAUCAGAAUAGGUUUACCUUGGAAAACAACAAAGUGAGGCAAGCAUUGUUCUGAUUCCAUGGAAAGGGAAUAAUGGCUCCAAAUUUGUGCUUCAGUGGUCAAGAAGUUUCUGGCACAUUGAAUUAAUUUUUUAUGAUACGAGGCCGACAAUAUGACUAUGCUUUUGAAGUAGAAAAUUUCAAGGACCCAGCAAUUCAAAUUGAUGGAUUUCUGGGUGCAAGUUUCUAAUCUGAAGUUUAACCAAGUAUUGAACCACGGGUGGAUAAUAAAAUUAGAAGAAAAAAAACCGACCCAAAAAAAUGUAACAUGUCAAUAUCCGGUUAACAUAAUGCAACAAAAUGACGUCAAUAUAUAAAUACUUCACUUUAUACAACUUUUGUUCUUUUCAAUUUGUAGUUUGAGCUACUCGGAAUGUUAGACUCAGUUAUACGUGUAGACGCCUUCCAAAAACUAACCCACAUAUGAUCUUCACAUAAUCUGAUAACCAACAUGAUCGAUCUGGGCAAUCAACUCUACACAAUGAGAACUAUCAUAAUUAACACUCCAUCGUCCAAAGCGGCAAAUCUCCUUUAUUUACGAUAUUCCUCUCAAAGAUUGAAGUAUCAUUCAACUGAAACUGGCACUGCCAUAUGGACACUAUUAGGGAAGCCUUAAGAUUAAGUAAAUAGCUGACACCACCUAGUGGGAUAAGACUUUUUUUUGUUUGUCUUGAGAUUAGGCAAAUAGCUCAGGCAGCAUCACAAAAAGUAGUAGUAGUACAUCUUUUCAUCACCUAAUUUUUCUCCCAAGUGCUCAAUUACAUUCCUAUGCCAGAAUCCAAUGCUACUACAUAGAAUGAGAGCUUAAUGUAUAAAUACAUAACUACACAGAAUAAAUAGAAGUACUUUUUGAAAGUUUAUGACUCUUAAGCUUUGAAACAUGAGAAUGCUAAUUCAACACACAGGGUUUCAAUGACAGCUCAAUGUUUUUUUCCUCCUCUAAUUGAACUUAGAAUGAAAUAAAGGGUUCCACUUUGACAGUAUUUAUAUUAUGUAGAAGGGUUUGUGACAGACUGACAGUGGUCUAAAAUUUUGAAUGGAUGCAUUUUAUUUUUGGGGAGAGAUUCUUUCUUGUUAUGAAACAUUUUUAAGAACAAUAAUUUGAAUUAAUAUAUAUAUGUAAUGUAUCUCACUAAAUAUGGAGAUAGUACCAAUUUAUUAUUAGAUUUUAAGAUAUCUUGUAUAAGGAAUUCAAUUUGUUAGGUUUUGGUUUAUUCUAGGACUUAAAGGAGAUUUGCAGCAGUAAAAGUGGUGGUAGGAGUGAUCAAUGUUCAGUUGAGCCAAGAACAAUUGUGUGACUUGUAUUUGGCCGAGUAAACGAGAAAUGAAAAUUAUUGAAUGUUCAGUAUAUCUUGUUUUCCACCCUUAUUUAUCUUUUAGUGUCUCUCUUGUCACCAACUUAAUGUUCAUACAUUCACUUCUUGACGCACACAUCUCUCUUAUACACUUAAAACACAUGUUCACCAUAGAAUGAAAAUCCUAUUUACUAAAUACAUUAUCAAAUUGCAGUAAAAUUUUGACAGCUUAACUAACGUUUUGAUAACCUAGAAGAAUAUAAUAUUCUAAUUUUUAUACCAAGAGUUAAAACUGUUUGCCAUAUAAGAUUCAAAAGUUAAAUACCUCAGGCACACAUCAAUAUUCUUUCUAAUGAUUUCUUUAUAUUAGUGGUAUCCAUCCCUGUAAUCUCAUUACUUAGCUCCUUAAACGAAUACAAAACAAGAGGUUUUAUUCCCUUGUCUCUCUCUUGUGGAUGAAAUAUUUGUGAUUUUUGUUGUGUUUUUUCAUAACCUUAGGGAAGACAUGUUUCAUUCUUUUUUGGUUAAAUUAUUUAUGUAUUAGUCUUUUCACUUCUGCAUGUAUGACUAACGGAGCGUGGCAUUAUCAAACUUCGUUUAGAUAUCUGUCGUGAAUCCUGCGUUGGAUGGAGCAUUGGAGAUCUUGCAAAAAUUUGCAAUUGAUGUGCGUAAUGGAAAGAUUUCUGAUGACAGAUUGCGUUUUGGUGCACCUUGGAGGCAUCCACCAAAGGUUGAUGACCCUAAGUUGCGCAUGGAAUGGGCAAAGCUUCAAUUGAUGGAUUUUGUUAAAUCACUAGUCAAUGCAGACUUUGGGGUCAAUUAUCGAAUUGAAUACAGUGAAGAAAUAUUUGACGAUCCUUCUGCUGUUGCAUUACUGCAGGUGGGGUUGCUUUAUGCUCAACGGGAUCCACCCUUCUUUCGUCCCAUAUCUAAAGGAAUUCAGAGGUGUCUAGUAAGAUGGCUUGUCCAGCAGCGGAUGCAGCUCAGGUUCCCUCAGUUGAUUCGAUUUCAGUGGCACAGAAUAAUACGGGGACGUUAUUAUCGCCAUUUGAUGGUACAAUUAGACAAUAAGUACUAGGCAAAGCAUCAGAAUAGGUUUACCUUGGAAAACAACAAAGUGAGGCAAGCAUUGUUCUGAUUCCAUGGAAAGGGAAUAAUGGCUCCAAAUUUGUGCUUCAGUGGUCAAGAAGUUUCUGGCACAUUGAAUUAAUUUUUUAUGAUACGAGGCCGACAAUAUGACUAUGCUUUUGAAGUAGAAAAUUUCAAGGACCCAGCAAUUCAAAUUGAUGGAUUUCUGGGUGCAAGUUUCUAAUCUGAAGUUUAACCAAGUAUUGAACCACACUAUCAUUUGUACAAGUUAAAGCAUGUUUCUCACAAAUCACAGUGAGCUUGUGGGUUUCCAAAUAGGUUUAUUUAUAAAAGAAGUUCUAUAUACAGGGGAAAAUAUCUUAAUAUGGAUAUUGCCAAUCAGAUAGAUUAGUUUACAUGUUGUACAGUGAGCUGUCCAAUUUGGACAUUGUUUAUUUGAUUAGCACAUGUGCUGGUUAUAACAGUAAUUAUGGUGCUUUCUGUUGAAUAAAUAAUUACUUGUGUGCAUCUUAGAUACUGAUUAUCUCCUAAUUUGCACCUUGAUUAAUUGUAAACUAUUAUACCAGUUUGCAGAAUAUACACAAAUUUCACUGUCUAUGAGGUUCAAAACCAUGCAUCCUGAUGUGGGACAUGUCUCCAAGACUGCUUCUAUUGACACGGUACUCCCAAGGAAACUUAUAAAACAAAUUUCAGGAGUGUUAUCUUGAAUUAAAUACUCUAAUAGUAAAGUUCUUCUGUUGACAACCAGAAGAUUCAGUGUUGGAUGUUGGUAUGUAGUUGAUUUUUACGACUCAGGUGCUUUGUGGGAUCAGAUCUCUCUCCUCAACUACUGUGAUGACCUUAGUAAUUGCAAAAUAAAAAAAAAGGGUGCUUUUUUUUUGCUUAAAAUAUGGUAAAUAAUUUCAUGAGAAUUGUUAAUUUUUACCAUUUGCUUUAACAAAUUAAAUGAUUUUGGAUUGAUGUGAAAUUUUAUAGGCGUAAUCUAUAUGAUAAUAUCUUUCAAUAUAAAGAUAGAUUUUGUUAUAUGGAUAUAUAAGGAAAAAUUAUCGAAUGUGUCAUGUUAUUAAGUUUGAGAAUAAAUU